rnacentral:miRNA from 1 species
CGUGUGUGUGUGAGUGUGUGUGUGAGUGAGUGUGUGUGUUUAAUAGCUUCCCUCCUCUUCUUCCCCUCCCUGCCUGCUCGCCUGCCUGCCUCCGUUCCCCACCCUCGCUCUCUUACACACAGAGAGGGCGAGCGACACACACACACACACACACACACACACACGCA